rnacentral:rRNA from 1 species
CUUGUCCUUAGUUACCAGCACGUAAUGGUGGGCACUCUAAGGAGACUGCCGGUGACAAACCGGAGGAAGGUGGGGAUGACGUCAAGUCAUCAUGGCCCUUACGCCCUGGGCUACACACGUGCUACAAUGGUCGGUACAGAGGGUCGCCAAGCCGCGAGGUGGAGCUAAUCCCAGAAAACCCAUCGCAGUCCGGUGGCAGU